GGCGCCGGAGGGCCCGGCGCCGGCCCCGCCGCACGGCCCGGCGCCGACCCGGUGAGCGAGGGCUCGGCGCUCACCGGCGCCC
rnacentral:tRNA from 1 species